UACGGAGGGAGCUAGCGUUGUUCGGAAUUACUGGGCGUAAAGCGCACGUAGGCGGCUAUUCAAGUCGGGGGUGAAAGCCCGGGGCUCAACCCCGGAACUCCCCUCGAAACUAGCUAGCUAGAAUCUUGGAGAGGUCAGUGGAAUUCCGAGUGUAGAGGUGAAAUUCGUAGAUAUUCGGAAGAACACCAGUGGCGAAGGCGACUGACUGGACAAGUAUUGACGCUGAGGUGCGAAAGCGUGGGGAGCAAACAGG
rnacentral:rRNA from 1 species